CAGGCACCCUGCAUGUAAUCCACUCGUUAUGUACUAGUGUGUCUUUGACCUGAAAUUACAUUGGAAGAAGCUGGAAUUAAACGAAAAAACGGAAAAGAGCAAAGUAAUUGCAAAACUGUGUGUGAUCACCCAGAACACAGUGUGGAAAGGCCAUUUAAACAACACUGAAAAGCUCCAUACUUCCACCUUUUGGGAUUCUGCUGAUCU